CUGUAAAUCCGUACCCUGUGAGAGUACUUGCAUUUCUGCAUGGGUGGUGAGGAUGUGGGAAGGGGCUGUUACUUAUGAGUGUCUGUAUCCUAUAUUCUUGUAAAGUCUUGGACUACUUGACUGAAAUUUAUCCUUUUACUUGAAGCUGCUAAUUUAAACCGAAAGUCCCUGAGAGUCUUGUCGACGGGUCCAAUCAAACAGAUCAAGAUUUCUGCAGCACAGCAGCCUCAACAAGAGCAGGAGACAAAAAGCUGCACAAGACCAGUAAAUCCUGAAAAACAAUAAUGCAGGGAAAACAUCAGCUUUCAAGUGAGACUAGGAGCCACUGCAGAA